rnacentral:rRNA from 1 species
UACGUAGGGGGCAAGCGUUGUCCGGAAUUAUUGGGCGUAAAGAGCGUGUAGGCGGCCAGAUAAGUCCGCUGUGAAAUCUCGAGGCUCAACUUCGAGCUGUCGGUGGAAACUAUCUGGCUAGAGUCCGGAAGAGGAGAAUGGGAUUCCUGGUGUAGCGGUGAAAUGCGCAGAUAUCAGGAAGAACACCCGUGGCGAAGGCGGUUCUCUGGGACGGUACUGACGCUGAGACGCGUAAGCGUGGGGAGCGAACAGG